rnacentral:rRNA from 1 species
GGAAACGACUGCUAAUACCGCAUAAGCCCACGGUGCCGCAUGGCACAGAGGGAAAAGGAGUAAUCCGCUUUGAGAUGGCCUCGCGUCCGAUUAGCUAGUUGGUGAGGUAACGGCCCACCAAGGCGACGAUCGGUAGCCGGACUGAGAGGUUGAACGGCCACAUUGGGACUGAGACACGGCCCAGACUCCUACGGGAGGCAGCAGUGGGGAAUAUUGCACAAUGGGGGAAACCCUGAUGCAGCGACGCCGCGUGGAGGAAGAAGGUCUUCGGAUUGUAAACUCCUGUUGUUGGGGAAGAUAAUGACGGUACCCCAC